GAUCAUUAACGCGCAGGCCGGAGGCUGGCCCCCCAGGAUAGGGCCAAACGUCCGUCAGGGGUGAGCAGAUGUGCGCCGGCCGUACCGCCCCAUUCUUGUCUACCUUACUCGGUUGCCUCGGCGGGCCGCGCUCUCCCAGGAGAGCCGUUCGGCGAGCCUCUCUUUAUAGCGGCUCAACGCUGGACCGCGCCCGCCGGAGGACAGACGCAAAAAAAAAUUCUUUCAGAAGAGCUGUCAGUCUGAGCGUUAGCAAGCAAAAAUCAGUUAAAACUUUCAACAACGGAUCUCUUGGUUCCGGCAUCGAUGAAGAACGCAGCGAAAUGCGAUAAGUAAUGUGAAUUGCAGAAUUCCGUGAAUCAUCGAAUCUUUGAACGCACAUUGCGCCCCCUGGCAUUCCGGGGGGCAUGCCUGUUCGAGCGUCAUUUCAGCCCCUCAAGCCCGGCUUGUGUGAUGGACGACCGUCCGGCGCCCCCGUCUC
rnacentral:misc_RNA from 1 species